rnacentral:tRNA from 1 species
GCGCCGAUAGUCCAGUCUGGUUAGGCUUAUGCCAAGAGACGCCGGCCUUCCAAGCCGGUAAGGCGGGUUCAAAUCCCGCUCGGCGCA